GGAGGUAUGGUUCUGUGUUAGAGUUUCUGCCUAGCAAGCAUGAAUUCUUGAGUUUGAAUCCCAGUACUUUUG
rnacentral:tRNA from 1 species